rnacentral:rRNA from 1 species
AUACUACCGGCAACAGCCCGAAACUCAAAGGACUUGGCGGUGCUUUAUACCCUUCUAGAGGAGCCUGUUCUAUAAUCGAUAAACCCCGAUAAACCUCACCAAUCCUUGCUAAUACAGUCUAUAUACCGCCAUCUUCAGCAAACCCUAAAAAGGGACAAAAGUAAGCUCAAUCACAACACAUAAAGACGUUAGGUCAAGGUGUAACCCAUGGAAUGGGAAGAAAUGGGCUACAUUUUCUACUUAAGAAAACCAAUACGAAAGCCAUUAUGAAAUUAAUGGCCAAAGGAGGAUUUAGUAGUAAACUAGGAAUAGAGUGCUUAGUUGAAUUAGGCCAUGAAGCACGCACACACCGCCGGUCACCCUC